rnacentral:rRNA from 1 species
CCUACGGGAGGCAGCAGUGGGGAAUCUUUGGCAAUGGGCGCAAGCCUGAUCCAGCAACGCCGCGUGAAGGAAGAAGGCUCUCCGGUUGUAAACCCCUUUUGUUAGGGAAGAGUAGUAGACGGUACCUGCCGCAUAAGCCACGGCUAACUAGGUGUCAGCAGCCGCGGUAAUACGUAGGUGGCAAGCGUUGUCCGGAUUUACUGGGUGUAAAGGGCGUGUAGCCGGGUUGACUAGUCAGAUGUGAAAGCCUGCGGCUUAACCGGAGAACGGCAGUUGAAACUGUGGGUCUUGAGUACUGGAGAGGCAGAUGGAAUUCCUGGUGUAGCAGUGAAAUGCGUAGAUAUUGGGAGGAACACCAGUGGCGAAGGCGGUCUGCUGGACAGCAACUGACGGUGAGGCGCGAAGGCGUGGGGAGCAAACGGGAUUAGAUACCCUAGUAGUC